rnacentral:rRNA from 1 species
GUGAGGGAUAUUGCACAAUGGGCGCAAGCCUGAUGCAGCGACGCCGCGUGGAUGAAGAAGGCUUUCGGGUCGUAAAAUCCUUUUGCGCGUGACGAGAACAAGGACGGUAGCGCGCGAAUAAGUCUCGGCUAACUACGUGCCAGCAGCCGCGGUAAAACGUAGGAGACGAACGUUAUCCGGAGUUACUGGGCGUAAAGGGCGUGUAGGCGGUCUGAUAAGUUCGGCGUGAAAUUUCCCGGCUUAACCGGGGGAUGUCGUCGGAGACUGUCGGACUAGAGGGUGAUAGAGGCGUGUGGAAUUCCGGGUGUAGUGGUGAAAUGCGUAGAGAUCCGGAGGAACACCAGUGGCGAAGGCGACACGCUGGGUCACACCUGACGCUAAAACGCGACAGCAUGGGGAGCAAACGGGAUUAGAUACCCUAGUAGUCC